rnacentral:lncRNA from 1 species
AUAUUCGCAAGUGUCUACUUGUCAACAAAGCGUGCCAGGAUGCUGUGAGAAUUAAAUUACAUAGUAGCUGCAAAAUAAUUUGGCUUUCUUGGAGUUGGACACCACCUGAACCUGAGUGAAAUGAUUGUGCACUUCUUAAUGGCCUCCAUCUCUGGCCAAGCUGCCUUGGGACCAGAACAAUCAUCUAAGUCCCAGUUUCCAGCCUAAAACAGCAUGAGGACAAGGCCAGGAGGCCACAGCAAGGCUGUAAUCAGAACCCACAAGGAUUGCAUGGAGAUGCUGCAGUGCCGCCACCACCCAACGGCCGGAGCCCCCAGCAAAG